rnacentral:tRNA from 1 species
CAAAAAUGAAGAACUAUAUCUUCUCAGGACA